GACGAACGCUGGCGGCGUGCCUAAUACAUGCAAGUAGAACGCUGAAGGAGGAGCUUGCUUCUCCGGAUGAGUUGCGAACGGGUGAGUAACGCGUAGGUAACCUGCCCGGUAGCGGGGGAUAACUAUUGGAAACGAUAGCUAAUACCGCAUAACAGUAGAUGUUGCAUGACAUUUGCUUAAAAGGUGCAAUUGCAUCACUACCAGAUGGACCUGCGUUGUAUUAGCUAGUUGGUGGGGUAACGGCUCACCAAGGCGACGAUACAUAGCCGACCUGAGAGGGUGAUCGGCCACACUGGGACUGAGACACGGCCCAGACUCCUACGGGAGGCAGCAGUAGGGAAUCUUCGGCAAUGGACGGAAGUCUGACCGAGCAACGCCGCGUGAGUGAAGAAGGUUUUCGGAUCGUAAAGCUCUGUUGUAAGAGAAGAACGAGUGUGAGAGUGGAAAGUCACACUGUGACG
rnacentral:rRNA from 1 species